rnacentral:snRNA from 1 species
GUACUCAUAUCAGCAGCAUACAUACUAAAACUGGAGCAACACAGAGGUCAGCAAGGGCCCCGUGCACAGAUGACACACAAAUUCAUGAAGUGUUCCACUUAGGU